rnacentral:rRNA from 1 species
GACGAACGCUGGCGGCGUGCUUAACACAAGCAAGUCGAACGGAAAGGCCCUGCUUGCAGGGUACUCGAGUGGCGAACGGGUGAGUAACACGUGGGUGAUCUGCCCUGCACUUCGGGAUAAGCCUGGGAAACUGGGUCUAAUACCGGAUAGGAGCCAUUUUUAGUGUGAUGGUUGGAAAGUUUUUUCGGUGUAGGAUGAGCUCGCGGCCUAUCAGCUUGUUGGUGGGGUAAUGGCCUACCAAGGCGGCGACGGGUAGCCGGCCUGAGAGGGUGGACGGCCACAUUGGGACCGAGAUACGGCCCAGACUCCUACGGGAGGCAGCAGGGGGGAAUAUUGCACAAUGGGCGCAAGCCUGAUGCAGCGACGCCGCGUGGGGGAUGACGGCCUUCGGGUUGUAAACUCCUUUCGCUAGGGACGAAGCUUUUUGUGACGGUACCUAGAUAAGAAGCACCGGCUAACUACGUG